CUCGGCCCUUUCCCCGAGAAGGGAAAGCGGUGACGACGUGAAAAGAUGGAGAUCGCCGACGGAGGGCGUGGCUAGAAACGGUCGCGCGCAGAGGGGGAGUGGGUGGGAAAUCCGGGCGACGGGAACGCGCAAGGUCGCAAUUUAGCGGUGGGGACGCGCGACAGGUCCCAGAAGAGAUCCGGAGGGUGGGGGGUGCGCAGAGAGUUGGGGGAGCAGGGUGCAUCGCCUUUUCCUUCCCCCGGGAAACCGGAGCCGGAAGACUGAAAUUCACCAAGCAAGACAAUCAAUCUGAAAUUCAGAAGGCUUUUCAUCAAUGACAUGAAACUUGAAAAGUAAAGACUGGAUUAAUAAGAAGAUGGGGGCAGCAAGCAGCAGUAUCCGUGACCUUCCAGAAAAUGAAUAUUUAAAGAAACUGUCCGGACGAGAGGCCAUCUCUGAAAAUGACCCGUUUUGGAAUCAGUUGCUUUCUUUUAGCUUUACUAUUCCAACAAACAGGUAGGUGUUACACAUUUAGC